CUCCCUGCCAGCCAAGGAGGGAGGGAAAGAAGCAAGGCCUUGCCUGGGCCUUCAUGGAUUUCUUCACCGUGUCAGAUGCGAAUGGAGAAUAAUACCGUUACAAUGGAUUUUUUUUAAAAAAAAACACCACAAAGUUUCAGGAAAGGGAAUCCAACUCAACACGUAGAAGAUGGGUUGCUUUGAUUCUUCCAGGCUGUGUCCAUGUUCCAGAAGCAUUCCCUCCUGACGUUUCACCCACAUCUAUGGCAGGCAUCUUCAGAGGUUGUGAGUGAGGACAUUGGUUUCCAUCUGGCAACGCUGAUGAUAUCCAAGACUGUUACCAUCAUGUUAACAUGGAGGAGCCGCAGCAUGUUAACAAAUUUGCCAGGGCAGCUGAUUUUUUGGAAAAUGGUCCAGAGAGCACCACGAUUCACUGUGUCAAAAGCUUUUGCGAGGUCAAUGAAUGUCAUGUACAGAGGUUGGUUUUGUUCCCUGCAUUUUUCUUGGAGCUGUCAUGCAGAAAAUAUCAUAUCCACUGUUCCCAGAAGACUUAAAAGAUGCCACCAUCAUCACCCCUUUCAAAAAAGGGGAAAGAACAGAACGUGGAAACUAUCAAGGUAUUUCUCUUCUUACCUCUGCAAGAAUCCUUACAAACCACCUUUUAUCUAUUUCAGAAGAUACCAGAACAGCUUCCGUCCCUUCCUUACCGCAGUGGGGAAUAAGCAGUUCUUUAAUUUUUUCCUUCUCCAUUAAUGUCAGACUGUAUUGAUUGCAAAUCUGUGUAGUGAUUAGGAAAGUUGGCCACCUAGUGACUGGAGAUAGUAUUGCAAUCUACAAACAACUUGAAUAUUUAACCUAUCUUUCUAAAAACUUCAGGUCUAGAUAACGAGUUUCUUUUGGAAGAAUUCCAGUUUUUGGGAUUAAUGGAUAUUUAGCUACAACUCAAACAGGCAAAUAAGCACACAUACACAUUUUCCUACAUUACAGAUUUUAUUUGCAGUAUUAAAAUUGUUUAAUUACAGCACAGUGGAAUAGUGUUCAGUCCACAAAUAAACAGACAUGUGCCUCUCUUUUUACCGCUUCAUAAUUAAUAUGUCCCAAAAAUCAAAUAGGAGAUUAUGUAGCAAAAAGUUUACAUUAGUGCAGCAGAAAGGUUAGUGGAUAUCAUAGGCUCUAAUUUGCUUGUGUAACAAGCCUGUUACAUGGUAUUUUAUAAAGUUAAGAUUAAAAUCAAUCUUCCAUAGAGCAGAGAAUAAAUAUUGAUACAAAACCAUCUUGCCUGCCUUUUUGGCUCAGAAAAAGAAUAGAAGUGAUUUGUAUGCAAAGUUUAACUGCAAACAUCCUUUAUUUGGAAAUAGAAUUAUUAUCAGUAGCAGGCAGUGCCAAAAAACCCCCAAUGGGAUUAUUGAUCACAAGCUUCUUAUUAGGCUACUGGAGUUGGAGUGUCUGGAUUUUCUGUAUCCACACUAGCCAGGACAUUCUCAAGGCUGUCAUUAACAAAUUCAGCUUCAGCGCCAACCUGUUUGUUGAAAAGACAUAUUACAUUAGCUGGUGAGUCCUGAGAGGGGAAUUUGAUAGAACUGAGAGAUUAAGGAAAUGAGAAAUUAUCUUGCACUGAUGUUACUGAAGGCAUUUCCAAGCACAGGUGGCAAUAAGAGAAAAAGGACAGAGACCAUUGUAGGACCAGCCCUACUAUCUAGCAGUUUCUGUUACCUCGGGCAACAGAUGCCAAGAAGUAUUGGGCUACAACUGUUUACCUGCACCCUCAAAAACACCAUCGCCUUUAGGUACGAUAUAGGGAUGGUAAAUGUAUUUUUAUUGAGGGACACAUCAGCCUCAUGGUUGCCUCCAAAGAGCCAUUGGAUCCAUGGAUGGAUAAUCCGUGGAUACGGAGAGCCAACUAUAAUUUUUUGACAUAGUAAGUGCUCUUCUGUUUUUGCCCAAUUUGGAUCCCCAGGUGAUAAUUGAAUUGCAGCUCCCAUCACUUGAUUAUCAGCCAUGUGGGCUGAGGAUAAUGGGAAUUGCUACCCAACAACACUAGUGUUUCUGAGGAUGGGAAAAGAUUAAAGGAUAUUUUAAUGCCAAACAUCAUGUCUACAAGCCUUAUAUAAAAAUUCAAACCCUUCCCUCCUGACUAAAUAGAACAAACUGCAACCUUCCAGAUGUUCCUGUAUCACAACUCCCAUCAGCUCUAGACAUGAUGUCUUAAUGAUGAGGAAUGCAAGCAAUUGUAGUUCAGCAUCUGGGCGACCACAAAAAAUUGGCACAGAGAGCCAGAUCCAGCCCAGAGGGCUUGAGUUUGACACAUGUGGUGUGAUAUAUGUUCCCUCAUUGCAAUAUUCCUACCCAGUUGGAGUGGGAAAUGCAUUAUUCCUAUUAAUCAAGGUAAUUGAAGGAUGCCAGAUAACAUGAAAAGAAUCUUGUUUAAACUCCACUGAAAGUUACCAUAGUAAAAUCAUAGUGGAAGAACUAGAAAAUUACUAUAGAGGUAGCCUUUCUAGGGAUUUCCUUGGUUCCUCAGAAAGGCUCAAUGCCUUAGAAUCACCUGGAGAAUGUAGAAAAUUACUAGAGAAGAUGUGUUUUUUCAGACCUGAGCAGGUGAAUAGAAGGACCACUAUGUAUUUUUAACUAAUUGAUAAUAUUUGUUAGGGCAAAUUGUACUACAUUUAGUGGAAGGAGGAACAUGUCUAUUCAUGAUAAUUCUACUAUGAUGGCAGAUGCAAACUAAUAGGAAACUUCCAGGUUUUCCUUCUGUCCUUUCUGAUUUCUGUGAUAAGUCUCUGCUUGUAUUGGGAGCUAACAGAAAAUAUUCAGAAAACAUGUAAGGAUCUCCAAAAUAAAAUUGGAAAGAACAGGGACAAAAUCUGGGAUUUUAAUCAGUCUUGAAUGUCCUCUAAAUUGGGGUGUACUGAAUUUUCAUACAGAAUAUAAAAUAGCCCAGGCAAGCAUCACCUUAAGACUCUUAAUUGUGACAGAAUUAGGAUCACACAUGCAUAUACACACCUGGCUAUGUGUUGCUAUCUAUAAGGUUAUGUUCUCUAUUGAACAUUUCCCUAGUUUUGGGUUUUUUAGAUGCAUUUACAGUAGGUAUAUAAUGUACAUUUAACAGACAUUGAAGGCAACCAAAGCUUCACAUAAACAGCUGCAAACAAGAACACCUUAACUAUCAAGUAAUGAGAAUCUAUAUUUCCUGAAAAUCCUGUUUACUACUUAGCAAUAUGAACAUAUAUUCUCUGUAUUAAUAUCUACAAGAAGUAUUACCUCUGCGUCAUUUCCUGCAUAACCAUCAUCAAAGGCCCGCUCAUUCUAGAAAAAUAAAGCAUCAUACGUAAUUUUGUAUUCAGUCCUGUAAUUAAAAUGCAGUGAAAGGUUUAACGGAUGCAAAGUUGAAUGCUAUCGUUUUUACCACAAAUUUGAAGGCAUUGUCAUUGUCAUCCAAAGCAUAUGAUAUCUAGAAAAAAAGAUAAACCAAGUAUUAGCAUGAAUGUGUGUGUAUAGCAUAUUUUCAGAAAAGAAAGUUCUAUAGGAUAAUCAUUUGCACACAAUAUAUUGAUUGUUUCAAUUGACUCAAACAACUUCACAAUCCAUUUUGUAAACUCAGUGUAAUAAGCUCUUAAGGCAUCCACACUAUAGAAUUGAUGCAUUUUGCUCUCAUUUUAACUGUUAUGGCUCAAUGCUGUUAAAGUGUGGAAGUUGUAGUUUAGUGAGGCAGCAGCACUCCUUGGCAGAGAAGGCUGGAGACUUUGUAAGAUUACAACUUCCAUGUUUCCAUAAUGUUGAUUCAUGACAGAUAAAGUGGAGUCAAAUCACAUUGAUUCUCCAAUGUAGAUGCAUCCUAUGUAAGAACUUAUAUAUGAGAUGAAGCGAAAGGACUAGAUCAUCUUUUGAUCAGUAUCCUGUAACAACCCAAAAAUUUCCAGAAACCCUAAGAUUGCCCAUGGAGACCAUAUUCUUCCCAGUUCUUAUUCCGUCUCCACAAAAUACAUCUCAUGAGCUUUUUGAGGUAAUAAUCAAAGAUCCAAUAUCCAUGGAGUACUGCAGAGACUGCAUUCUGAAACUGCAUUAUAUAGUAGGGUAGAUCCAGCCUAAGAGAGCCAUCUCUUCUAAAUCUGUCUGUUCAUCCUUUAAAGCCCAACCUUCAAGGGUUGCUGGUUUGAAUCCAGGGAGAGCAUGGAUGAGCUCCCUCUGCCAGCUCCAGCUUCCCAAUCAGGGACAUGAGAGAAGCCUCCCACAAGGAUGGUAAAAACAUCAAACAUCUGGGCAUCCAGUAAUAUACCCCAAUUGUUAUUUUUCUGUUACUAUUCAAGUAAAUUUAUUAGGAAUUUUAUGCCUGGUUCUAUUGUUAUUGCUGAGUCACAGUUACAAUUCCAGUUAUUGCAACAUUGUGCCAAGCACAGGAAGUAAAUUGUUUGGCCAUUUUGCAAGAAUAUGUAUUCAGCAUCACAUGAGUUGCAUUUAAAUGGCCCUCAGUAAAAAAAAAUCAUUUGAACAAUAGUAAAACCACUGUAUCAAGUGGAUUUUCAUUUGUGUUAGCGUACCUUACAUUGAUUGAUUGUGGCUGGGAUUAACAAAUGAAUUCAAGGAAAGCCUACCAGAAACUUGCAAGAAUAGUAUAAUAAAUCUAAAUGUAGUAAGAAAUCUUUUUUAACCUCUUGUUGAUUGUUGUCAUCACUUGCAUUUGGUGAAAUAAGAUCCUAAAUACAAAUAUUAAUUAUUAAGCAUAAAUGCAUAUGUAUGUAAUUAUAUCAUACAUAUGUGCAUGAUAUAUAUGAUACCAUAGGUGAACAUAUAAAUAUAUCUACAUGGUAUGUAUCACAUCCAGAGGUUAGACUGGCAUGUUCCCAGCUUUCUUUUUCUCAGACAAGUAAAAACUUUUCUGUUCCAAUAGGUUUUUUUUUCUUUUUCGUGUCAGGAGCAACCGGAGUUGCUUCUGGAGUGAGAGAAUUGGCCGUCUGCAAGGACGUUGCCCAGGGGACGCCCGGAUGUUUGAUGUUUUAUCAUCCUUGUGGGAGGCUUCUCUCAUGUCCCCGCAUGGAGCUGGAGCUGAUAGAGGGAGCUCAUCCGCACUCUCCCCGGGUGGGAUUCGAACCUGGCAGCUUUCAGGUCAGCAACCCAACCUUCAAGUUACGAGGCUUUUAUCCCCUUGGCCACCGGGGCCUCCUUGUUCCAAUAGGUAUUUAGUUCCAAGUACAGGUAGUGAUUUAUUUUUGGCCAUUUUGCAAGAAGAUGUAUUCAACAACACAUGAGUUGCAUUUAAAUUGCCCUCAGUAAAAAAAAAAUCCCUUGAACCAGAGUAAAACCAUUGUAUCAGCUGGAUUUCCAUAUGUGUUGACUUACCUUAUAGUGAUUGAUUGUGGGUGGGAUUUUAUUUAUUUAUUUAUUUACAGUAUUUAUAUUCUGCCCUUCUCACCCCGAAGGGGACUCAGGGUGGAUCACAAUGCACAUAUACAUGGCAAACAUUCAAUGCCAUUAGACAUACAACAUACAUAGACAGACGCAGAGGCAAUUAACAAAUGAAUUCAAGCAAAGCCUACCAGAAACUUGCAAGAAUAGUAUGAUACAUCUAUUCUUGCUCUGAAUGUGAUUUUCCUGCUUCUUAGCAGGGGGUUGGACUGGAUGGACCACAAAGUCUCUUCCAACUCUAUUAUUGAUAUAGACACAGGGUCUAUUCCCAUCCCAAUUUGCACUUCCAAGAAUUUGCAGCACUUUAUCAGUCACUUCAUGUUUACAAUAUUUAUAUGGUGCACCUUACCCAGUCUACUUUUACAACCUCUCAGUUUUAAUCGAUGUUUUUAUUAGUUCUUGUCAUUUGUUUUUGUUGGCUACUGUUUGAAUUUUUAUAGUUGUGCAUGUUUUUUGUCUAUUGUUGUGUUUUAUAUUGCUAUUGUUUUUAUUCGGGCUUGGCCCCAUGUAAGCCGCCCUGAGUCCCCUUUGGGGAGAUAGAGGCAAGGUAUAAAAAUAAAGUUAUUAUUAUUAUUAUUAUUA